GAAGAGGCGGGCCGCGAUUGGGUGGAGCGGAAACGGGCGGGGGGCUGUGAUUGGCGGAGCAGUCUCGGGCCGGGAGUGGCUGGGCGCGUAGGGCGGGGCCGAACCGGAGUAUAAAAGGCGUGCCUGAGGGGCUGUCGGUACGAAAGGCGGCUGUGGCCGGCCGGCUGUUGGUGCUGUGGCUGUGCGAGCUGGGGCGCGCCGCCCGCAGCGCUGCUGGGAGACCCGUGAGCAGCUGCCGGAGGAAGGAGCUGGAGCCAGGACAGAUUCUGGAGCUGAAGCUGAGACAGCAGAGAGCUGAGAUCACAACGACGUACAGAGAGCUGGAGCUGAAAUGAAGACACUGGGGCAGCAGGUGGAGCUGAAAUACCUUAAAGACGGAGCUGACACAUGCAGAGCUGGAGCUGAACUGAUGGAGAGCUGGAGGUGAAAUAAAGAUUGUAUGGCAGGGGCUGAAAUAAAAUCUAUAGGGCUGGAGCUGAAAUAGA